GACGAACGCUGGCGGCGUGCCUAAUACAUGCAAGUCGAGCGAGUCUGCCUUGAAGAUCGGAGUGCUUGCACUCUGUGAAACAAGAUACAGGCUAGCGGCGGACGGGUGAGUAACACGUGGGUAACCUGCCCAAGAGAUCGGGAUAACACCUGGAAACAGAUGCUAAUACCGGAUAACAACAGAUGAUGCCUAUCAACUGUUUAAAAGAUGGUUCUGCUAUCACUCUUGGAUGGACCUGCGGUGCAUUAGCUAGUUGGUAGGGUAACGGCCUACCAAGGCGAUGAUGCAUAGCCGAGUUGAGAGACUGAUCGGCCACAUUGGGACUGAGACACGGCCCAAACUCCUACGGGAGGCAGCAGUAGGGAAUCUUCCACAAUGGACGCAAGUCUGAUGGAGCAACGCCGCGUGAGUGAAGAAGGGGUUCGGCUCGUAAAGCUCUGUUGUUGGUGAAGAAGGACAGGGGUAGUAACUGACCUUUGUUUGACGGUAAUCAAUGAGAAAGUCACGGCUAACUACGUG
rnacentral:rRNA from 1 species